rnacentral:pre_miRNA from 1 species
AUAACAGUCAACCCGUCGGUCUACCGAGCAAUAUCACUCGCUCGGUGGAAGAUCCUCAAUCCGUCGC